GAUUAUGGCUCAGAACGAACGCUGGUGGCGUGUCUAUACAUGCAAGUCGAGCGAGGCAGCAAUGCCGAGCGGCGAACGGGUGAGUAACGCGUAAGCAAUCUGCCCCAUAUCAGGAAAUACCCGUGCCAACGCGCGGUUAAUGUCCAGGAGAGUGGCCCUCCGCAUGGAGGGUUGACUAGAGAUUCAUCGGUAUGGGAUGAGCUUGCGUCCGAUUAGCUAGUUGGCGGGGCAACGGCCACCAAGGCGACGAUCGGUAGCCGGCCUGAGAGGGUGAUCGGCCACAUUGGGACUGAGAUACGGCCCAGACUCCUACGGGAGGCAGCAGUAGGGAAUAUUGCACAAUGGGGGGAACCCUGAUGCAGCAACGCCACGUGUGGGAAGAAGCAUUUCGGUGUGUAAACCACUGUCAUGAGGGAAUAAGGCCCUUAUUCGUAAGGGACUUGAAUGUACCUUGAGAGGAAGCACCGGCAAACUUCGUGCCAGCCGCGGC
rnacentral:rRNA from 1 species